GAACGCUGGCGGCAGGCCUAACACAUGCAAGUCGAACGGUAACAGGAAACAGCUUGCUGUUUCGCUGACGAGUGGCGGACGGGUGAGUAAUGUCUGGGAAACUGCCUGAUGGAGGGGGAUAACUACUGGAAACGGUAGCUAAUACCGCAUAACGUCGCAAGACCGAAGAGGGGGACCCUCGGGCCUCUUGCCAUCGGAUGUGCCCAGAUGGGAUUAGCUUGUUGGUGGGGUAACGGCUCACCAAGGCGACGAUCCCUAGCUGGUCUGAGAGGAUGACCAGCCACACUGGAACUGAGACACGGUCCAGACUCCUACGGGAGGCAGCAGAAGGG
rnacentral:rRNA from 1 species